GCACUCCUGCGUCUUCUCCUGUCUGAGGCAGUCGUUCCUUGGUUAGUUCGGGCAUUGGGAGAGACCACCCCUCUCAACGCUAUCCCCUGGGCCGUCGUGCAAAUCUGAGGAGAUCCAGAUCCUCCUCGGCGUGUCGGCCCCUAUGACCACCUAGGGUGGCGCAGGGCCGUCAUUCGGUGCGGAAACCUGCAAGAGUGGGAUGUUAUACGUAGACUGCGAAUAUUUAUGCAAUUCAGAUAUUCAUUUACAUACGUUCAUGCGACUAAAAAUUUGAUAUUAUGGAAAUAAAAUGAAGAAUCUGAUAAAAAACGCGUCAUUGAAAGCAAAGGAGUUACAAUUGUCAAGUAUAGAACAUCAUAUAAAAUGAUGACCUCGACACGCAUAUUCAUCAAGCAAAUAUGCAUUUUGAUCGGCGAACAUUAUUAGUUUUGAUGAAGCGCGCAAUCACGCAUAGAUCAAAUUUCAUUUAUUGUACUUGCGGAUCUAAUUUUCAUUUAUAAAAUCUUCAUCAUCUAUAAAUUGCGUAGAAUAAAAAAUUGUAUUAUCAAAA